rnacentral:rRNA from 1 species
AUACGUAGGGUGCAAGCGUUGUCCGGAUUUAUUGGGCGUAAAGGGCUCGUAGGCGGUCUGUCACGUCGGAUGUGAAAACUCGGAGCUCAACUCCGGGCCUGCAUCCGAUACGGGCAGACUAGAGUUCGGUAGGGGAGAUUGGAAUUCCUGGUGUAGCGGUGGAAUGCGCAGAUAUCAGGAGGAACACCGAUGGCGAAGGCAGAUCUCUGGGCCGAUACUGACGCUGAGGUACGAAAGCGUGGGGAGCAAACAGGAUUAGAUACCCUUGUAGUCC